rnacentral:lncRNA from 1 species
UUCCUUCCUUCCUUCCUUCCUUCCUUUCUCUCUCUUUUUCUUUCUUUCUUUCUUUCUUUCUUUCUUUCUUUCUUUCUUUCUUUCUUUCUUUCUUUCUUUCUUUCUUUCUUUCUUUCUUUCUUUCUUUCUUUCUUUCUUUCUUUCUUUCUUUCUUUCUUUCUUUCUUUCUUUCUUUCUUUCCUUCCUUCCUUCCUUCCUUCCUUCCUUCCUUCUUUCUUUCUUCAUUCAUUUGUUUAUUUGUUUAUUUAUCUAUUUAUUUAUUUAUUCAUCCAUUUCUUUAUUCAUUCAUUUAUUUU